GACGAACGCUGGCGGCGUGCUUAACACAUGCAAGUCGAACGGAAAGGCCCUGCUUUUGUGGGGUGCUCGAGUGGCGAACGGGUGAGUAACACGUGAGUAACCUGCCCUUGACUUUGGGAUAACUUCAGGAAACUGGGGCUAAUACCGGAUAGGAGCUCCUGCUGCAUGGUGGGGGUUGGAAAGUUUCGGCGGUUGGGGAUGGACUCGCGGCUUAUCAGCUUGUUGGUGGGGUAGUGGCUUACCAAGGCUUUGACGGGUAGCCGGCCUGAGAGGGUGACCGGCCACAUUGGGACUGCGAUACGGACCAGACUCCUACGGGAGGCAGCAGUGGGGAGUAUUGCACAAUGGGCGGAAGCCUGAUGCAGCAACGCCGCGUGCGGGAUGACGGCCUUCGGGUUGUAAACCGCUUUCGCCUGUGACGAAGCGUGAGUGACGGUAAUGGGUAAAGAAGCACCGGCUAACUACGUG
rnacentral:rRNA from 1 species